rnacentral:rRNA from 1 species
AGUAAAUAGAUACCCCGGUAGUCCACGCCCUAAACGAUGUCGACUAGGUGUUCGGUGAGGAGACUCAUUGAGUACCGCAGCUAAACGCGUGAAGUCGACCGCCUGGGGAGUACGGUCGCAAGAUUAAAACUCAAAGGAAUUGACGGGGACCCGCGCAAGCGGUGGAUGAUGUGGAUUAAUUCGAUGCAACGCGAAAACCUUACCUACCCUUGACAUGUACGGAACCCUGCUGAGAGGUGGGGGUGCUCGAAAGAGAGCCGUAACACAGGUGCUGCAUGGCUGUCGUCAGCUCGUGUCGUGAGAUGUUGGGUUAAGUCCCGCAACGAGCGCAACCCUUGUCAUUAGUUGCUACGCAAGAGCACUCUAAUGAGACUGCCGGUGACAAACCGGAGGAAGGUGGGGAUGACGUCAAGUCCUCAUGGCCCUUAUGGGUAGGGCUUCACACGUCAUACAAUGGUCGGUACAGAGGGUUGCCAAGCCGCGAGGUGGAGCCAAUCCCAGAAAGCCGAUCGUAGUCCGGAUCGCAGUCUGC